rnacentral:rRNA from 1 species
UACGGGGGGAGCAAGCGUUGUUCGGAUUUACUGGGCGUAAAGGGCGCGUAGGCGGUCACGACAAGUCAGUUGUGAAAUCUCCGGGCUUAACUCGGAACGGUCAACUGAUACUGUCGGACUAGAGUGCAGAAGGGGCAACUGGAAUUCUCGGUGUAGCGGUGAAAUGCGUAGAUAUCGGGAGGAAUACCAGUGGCGAAGGCGGCCUUCUGGACGGAUACUGACGCUGAGGCGCGAAAGCCAGGGGAGCAAACGGG